rnacentral:lncRNA from 1 species
GUUUUCUUCUGUAGAUAAUGCAUUUAGGGACAUUUUAACUUGCAGGUCGAGUAGGACAACUUUGUCAGAAGCGGCUCCUGCUGAUGCUUCGCCAGAUAUGAUUGUAAAUGACAUGAACGAGCCUGAACUGCUACUUGAUUCCUCUUUUGAUGUGGUUGUCGAUACUAACCAUGUUGAGGCUCUUUUUGAUGUACCAACUGAAAGGCCCGUUCGUUCUAAAAUGCCUGUGCCAAUUUCUUUUGUUAGUUAUGAUGAGAAAGAUGCUAAAGCUGCUGAGCAGUGGCUGAACAUUAUUACUGGGGUGGGACAAAGGUUCAAUAGUGUAAAUGAGUUUCGCGAGGCAUUACGUAAAUAUGCCCUGGCACAUCAGUUUGCUUUCAAAUACAAGAAAAAUGAUAGUCAUCGUGUAUCUGUUAAAUGCAAGGCCGAUGGUUGUCCAUGGAGAAUUUAUGCAUCAAGGUUGGUGACCACUCAGCUGAUAUGUAUUAAGAAAAUGAUUCCAACACAUUCUUGUGAAGGAUCUGCACUUACAACUGGCAUUCAGGCAACAAGAAGUUGGGUUGCUAGCAUCGUGAAGGAGAAGUUGAAAGUUUUUCCGAACUAUAAGCCCAAAGACAUUGUUAAAGACAUCAAAGAGGAAUUUGGGAUCCAGUUGAAUUACUUUCAGGCAUGGCGGGGGAAAGAAAUUGCUAAGGAGCAGCUCCAGGGUUCUUACAAAGAGGCAUAUAGUAAGUUACCACUUUUCUGUGAGAAGAUAAUGGAAACAAAUCCCGGAAGUUUAGCGACUUUUGCCACUAAAGAAGACUCGAGCUUCCAUCGCCUCUUUGUGUCUUUCCAUGCUUCCCUAUAUGGCUUCGAACAAGGCUGCCGUCCUUUGCUUUUCCUAGAUGGCAUAUUUUUGAAGUCUAAAUAUCAAGGCACACUUUUGGUAGCAACAGCUGUUGAUGGGAAUGAUGGUGUUUUUCCUGUUGCUUUUGCUGUUGUGGAUGCUGAAUCUGAUGACAACUGGCAUUGGUUCUUACUACAACUCAAAACUGCUUUGUCAGUGUGUCGUGGGAUAACUUUUGUGGCAGAUAGAGAGAAGGGACUAAAAGAGUCAAUUGCUGAAAUUUUUCAGAAUGAUGAUGUUUACCAUAGCUACUGCCUGACCCAUCUCUCUGAGCAAUUUAUCAGAGACUUGAAGGGACAGUUUUCUCAUGAAGUGAAGCGUCUUAUGGUUGAAGAUUUUUAUAGUGCUGCUCAUGCUUCUACCCCUGAAGACUUCCAAAGAUGUGUGGAAAGCAUCAAAACUAUUUCAAUAGAAGCAUACAGUUGGAUCAUGCAAAGUGAGCCUGUUCAUUGGGCAAAUGCAUUCUUCCAAGGUGCAAGAUAUAACCACAUGACUUCAAACUUCGGAGAACUGUUCCAGAGUUGGUUAUCAGAUGCACAUGAAUUGCCAAUAAUCCAGAUGGUUGAUGCCAUUCGAGGUAAGAUUAUGGAGUUGAUAUAUACCCGGCAGACAGAAUCUAACCAUUGGCAGACAAGAUUAACUCCAUCAAUGGAGGGGAAACUCGAAAAAGAAAACAUUAAAGUUAGAACCCUUCAGGUAUUAAUAUCAGCUGGUAACAGAUUUGAGGUACGUGGGGAUACCAUUGAAACUGUUGAUGUGGAUAACUGUGUUUGUAGUUGCAAGGAGUGGCAGCUUACUGGAUUACCCUGCUGCCAUGCAAUCGCUGUCAUUACUUGUGUUAACCGUGAUCCAUAUGAUUAUUGUUCUAGAUACUUCACAACUAAUAACUAUAGAGUAACAUAUUCACAGUCAAUACAUCCUGUUUCGAAUAUAGAUGGCCCCUGGCUGAAGGGCUCUUCUCAGUUGGCAGUGGCUGUAACCCCUCCUCCAACUCGUCGUCCACCAGGCCGGCCUACUACAAAGAAAAUUGGCUCACAGGAUGCAGCAAAACGUCAACUUCAAUGCAGUAGAUGCAAGGGUAGUGGGCACAACAAAUCAAGCUGUAAAGAGAUUUUGCUGGAAUGAUAAACUAUGUAAGUAUACUUUAUGAUCUUUUUGGCUGCAUCGUUUACAUAUAUCUAUUUAACAUCCUUUAACAUAUCAGAUGGCUUCCAUUCAUUAGCAAACUGUAUUGACCUGAGUGGAAAGGAACAUCUUCCAUCUAUACUUCCUUGACUGUUCAUAAUGUCAACAUAUUCAUGGUCUAUGUAGAUCUUCCUUCAUUGCUUUCUUGGAAACAUCCUGCUCCUACGCUAAUGUAGAUAUUCUGAGUGUUAGUCUGUCUGUUAGAUUUACAUUUGGCCUGUUGAUAUUCCAAUACCUUUUGUAUUGUCAGUAGCCUUCCAUGUUUUUUUUCACCUUCACUGUCAAGUGGUUCAGAGUGAGGCUUUCUCCCUAUCCUAUAAAGCACGAGCACGCCUAGAUGCUCCUCACUCCUCAGACACUCCAAUACUUGUGUCUGACAAGCCAAGUGUUGUGUCUUAUUCUUUAAAUGUCUGACACUUGAGGGAUAGUUUAGGGACAUGCGUUGGUGUCCGACUGUUGUGAAAAUUUUUGUUUCAGUGUGCCAUGUUAUUCCGUGUUGGUGUAUGUGCUUCUUAGACCCUAGCAUCUUUACAGAAUUUAUGCAUAUUCUCCCAAGAGUUUGUCACUGCACCCUAGCUCCUUCGACUACCAGAAUCUUUUCUCGAUUUGUUACCUAUCCUCUGCAUAGAAUAUUUUUUAAUAUGUAUUGGAGCUGUCGUAAUGCGUAUACUCCUCUAUGCAAAACUUCUUGCUUUCAAAUGAUGAAUUAAGAGACUAAGAUGUCUAUUUCCAACUACGUAAAUAAAGAAAGCUAUUGUACUUUAACUACUCAUUCCUUAUUCCCAUGGUUUAACAAACCCAAUUGAAACUCAUCUUAAGGUUCGCGUCAGAUUAAGGCUUGCAAAACACUUUAAGAUGCUGAUUAUGAGGCAAUUUUUUGAAGUGUACAGCACUAUGGAGCAUCGACACGUGGCCAACAUGCCUUUGACACAUGUUGAAUAUGCUACGUGGUGGUUCCAUCAUUUUCUCUAAUUUUAUAUUGCCAAACAUCGUGAAUAUUCCUCCUACAUGCCUUUGGAAGUUCAUGACACUACGUGAUUACUUGCAAAUGGUCGAAAAAAAGAAGGUAAAUUCACAUGACAUAUAUCGACUUCGUCCUUUUCUGAUAGCUAAAUUGCAAGCCUGCAACAUUGCUGUCGCUAUUGGGGGUUGGUGGCUUUGGGCUCUUUCCAUUUUAUCAAUCAAAAAGGCACUAAUGGCGAAGGAAACCUUAGAUGACGAAUUUACUUUUCAGAUUCCUAAUCUAAAGUAACACACUUUCUCUUAUUAAGUGUGUGCUUAGUUAGGGAAAACAUAGUUGUCCAAUUGACUUGCCUUUAUUAAAGGGCCAAGCAGCAUGUUUUAUUUGUUAGGUACAUAGGCGACUUUUCUUUUUUUAAGACAGAGAUGUGUUUUAUUAAAUAUAUCAAUCAACUGGGAGGGAAAAAAAUAAUUUAGCCUUCUUUUUUUCUAAGAAGAAUGUAACUUUCCUUUUUAACCAAUAGAAUAUUAAAAAAUUAUCAAGCAAUCGUCCCCUUUUACACUUUGAAAAUUGGGCACCUAACUUUUACGGUAUUAUUAAUAUUUUAAUUGCUUUAUAUUGUAUAGUUGAAAAAAUGGUUUUAAAAUUUUUUUAGCCCUUGUUUGAGCCACAUUAUUUUCAUAAGAAUGCUUUUUUUAAUAGUAUAUUGAUGGUAAAUGUGUGGUUAAAAAAUGAGGAAAAGUUUUGGAUUUGUGUGUAAUAUUAAUAUUUUGAUGAAGAAUGUGUACUUGAAAUUAUGUCAAAUCAUUGUUUAAGAAUGUAUUUUUUUGAAAGAAUGAAUCAAAACACUGGGUUUCAUGCAUGCCAUUAGAUUAUCGAAAGAUGAUAUUGUUUUGCUCUCACUUCAAUUUAAAGAUGUGCUGGCUUUUGAUAAGCUUUUAUUGUGUUUUUAUUCCAUGGUGUGCUGCUGUUUAACAAUUUAAUCUGUAUUCUCUUCCUUCCACAGGGUUGCUCUAUUGGUGAAUCAACAUCUUCGACCGGCAAUAUUUUCUGAUGAGUUUAAUUCAAGUCUCACUUAGUUCAUCAUUCCUUUGAUCAUUUAUCUGACUUCAGGUUCUUAGUAGUGAAAAUGGUGUUGAUAAUGGAAGGAGUCUGAGUGCUAUUCAACAGCAUUCUUUUCAGCAUGUUUCUUAUAGUUCUUGGAAGGCUGAUGGUAUGUACAUAGUAACAAACUUCUGUUACUACUUUCUUGCCUGUAUGAUGUAGAACCUCCCUAACAUGCGUGUGAUCUUUUUGUUGGCUGCUAAUUUAGUCUUCGGUGUUGGUGGAUAAGAACGCAAAUAUGAUCCUGACAUGAUUAAUAAAGUGGACAGUGUUAGGUAGUCAAUAAGAAAGCGAAUCUAAAUUUGUCCGUUGAACUGUCCAGUUCAUUACGG